rnacentral:rRNA from 1 species
UACGUAGGGGGCAAGCGUUGUCCGGAUUUAUUGGGCGUAAAGAGCGUGUAGGCGGCCAGAUAGGUCCGUUGUGAAAACUGGAGGCUUAACCUCCAGCGGUCGAUGGAAACCAUCUGGCUAGAGUCCGGAAGAGGAGAGUGGAAUUCCUGGUGUAGCGGUGAAAUGCGCAGAUAUCAGGAAGAACACCCGGUGGCGAAGGCGGCUCUCUGGGACGGUACUGACGCUGAGACGCGAAAGCGUGGGGAGCGAACAGG